ACACCUCAUGCUGGGCAGGGGUGUUGAAACUUCUCCAUUGCCUCAGGAAAGGGGGAGACUGUGCCUGAGACCUCCCUAACCUCAUCAGGUGCCCAAUGUGCAGUGAGGCUCCUGGACUGUUAUUGUCACCCGGGCACAAAGCCAUGCUGCUUCCUUCUCCUGUCUCUCCUUCUCCUCCAUCCCCACUUGCUUCCAUUGUCAAGCCCUCACUAGAAAUGCACAACCUGCCUCUAAACUUAACCACAAUCAGGACCACAAAAGCAGCCCCAUGUGCUCUGGUCAAGGGAUCUCCUAUUAGUACCUGGGUAUCUGGGGCUUCCCAAGGUGUGAAAAGAGAAGACCUGGCAGCAGGAUGCUGUAUAGGACCAUGAAGGCAAAAACCAUCAUGGGGGAGCACAGGUUUAGCUUUGACAUUGGAAGCCACUUCUCACAGCUGGAGGUGGGGAUGGACAAGGGCCAGCCUUGGAAGGGCUUCUCACCUCAACCAGCAUGUGGGAUCCAGCCUUGAAGAUGUUCCUCAGGGCAGCAGCACUUCCAAGGAGACCUCCAUCCACCCAGGCCUUGCUGCAGAAACAUAAGGGAUAAACACAAUCAUUUCAAAGAAGCGAAUGCUUCCCACCGGAGGAGCCAACAGGGACCUGCCGCGAAGUCCUGGUACGGUGUGUCACUGACACUGAUUCAAUCUGACACCCGGGUGUCUCCAAAGCCAUCACAUUGUAUGCUGCAAAUGUAUAUUAACAUUAGUAUGCAUUGGCACAAUAUGGAUCCAUUAUUCCAAAUGCUUAUGAGAACUAGGUGCUGCAUAGGAGCAGCUGCUGCUUUUUAAGCCUCAGAGCAUCAAUAGAUUCAUAGAUUUUAGGGCCAGAAGGGACCCUGGUGAUCAUGGAGUCUGACCUCCCAUGGAGCAUGAGCCUGGUAAUUUCUGCAUCCAGCCCCAUCACUCGUGGAUAAGCAGCAGCUUCCGCUGUGAAAGGCACCAGCUCAGCGAUGGAGAAGUUGAUGUCUCCCCCUUUUAAAUCUGUUCCCUCCUUUUAUCACUCUCCUCAUUAAUCUUAAAAGGGAAAUCCUUAAUUUCAAGGCUCAGCCUGUGUAGGUCCAACUUCCCACCACUUGGUCCUCUCAGGUCCCAUCUUCCCUCCCUUCUUCUGUACCAGAUGAUAUUUUCCCCCUGUUGUUGAAGUAGUGGCUACAUAGGAGAAAAGAAACGUUCCAGUGUCCUGGAAUGUUGGCUGCUAAAGGAUUAGUCCUUCUUAUGGAAAGGAAUGGUACCUGGGAAAUGUUCAAAUGCGGGGUCAUCCUUUGACUGUGAACAUUUAGUCUUUGUUUAAAAAAGUGCCAAACUGUAUAAAUGCAUUUUGCAGCAAAGGAGCGAUGCUGGAGAUGGGUUUUGGGUUAAAUUGCUUGUCUUGCUCCCAGAAAAUGACAGAAGAGAAGAGAAUGAAAAUCCAUUAAAUCAAUGAAACAAAAAGAGCUGAAAGUCCUAUGUUACGGUCACAAAACCCCUCCAC